UUCAAAGUUACCCACUGUAUUUCAUGGGAAGAACCAUAAGAUCGAGCUGGACCCACAGAUGAACUAAGGAUGAAACCAGUUUUUUUCUAACCUAAUGAAACUCACAUCCCAACCAGGAUAAAGUCUCCACAUGGACAAGAGAUCUUUGGACAGAGAUCCCAGUUUAAAACCAAUGGAAUUAGAAGAAAUUGCAACCAAAAUAUCUGCGCUGGACCAAUGGAGAGCGAUAUUCAGUUCUCAGGGGUUGAAGAUCAAAAACCCAGCAAACCAGACAAACCAAGAUCCCCACAAAGCAGAUGAGGAAAGCGAGGAGAGAGCAGAGACUUCAAGCAGCAAGAAGCAUGGGACAUUUCCAGGCAAUAUUUUCUAUUCCAUCCCAAGGGAGCUGAUGAUAGCAUCAGACCUCGGUGGUCAGCCCAUCUCUAUAGAAAUGGCAAUGGAACUGAGGAAAAUUCUGUUUGGAAACACAUUUCAAACAUUCAACUAUGAAUGGAAGAAGUCAUGUUUUAAGUUCAGAGAGGCCUUUUCUGAGCUGGCUUAUGCUAUUGAAGCAGAGAAGGGUGGGGCAAGAGCAAUUCAACUGGUGGUACAAGCACACAUCAUUAAGUACUUAUUAUUUACCAAGAAUAAGAAUGAACACAGUCCUAUAAAGAGUUUAUCAGAAUUAAGCCAAAUACAGCAAGAAAGGGCCCUGGCAGCCUCAAUUGCGGAUAUCCUCUGGACGGCAGGAGAAAUGAAGAAAGCUACAAUCUGCCUCAUCACCAGUGACUCGUACUUCACAGAAAGCCCUGACUAUAAAACAGAUAACUUUACAGAAAAGCUUCAGCUUUUUGACUUUGUGGAAAAAGAUACACUGGAGAAAUUUCUUGGUGCCCACAUACACUGCUUUCAAGAUGAAGGGAGCCAUGGAGUCAUAUUAUUCCUGUACAGUUUGCUUUUCUCCAGGAAAAUUGCAAGGAUUCAACAAGACCUGGAUCACACAACAUCUCAGCUCUUACAUUUUUGUCUGGGAAAUUACGUUGUCAGACAGGCAGUGUUGAAUCUGAUGUUGGCUGGUAGAGCAAGCCCACAUGUCUUUAAUGGUGACCAGGCUGUGGAUGAUGACAAUAUGGAACAGAAGUACCAUGGAGUCCUUGCACGCAGUGAUGUCGGAUACUUACAUUGGAGUAGAGAGGAAAUGGAGCAGGACAGACUUCCCCAGGUGGGCAGCAUGCUAAAAACGCCAAAGUAUCCCAUCUGGCUUUGCAAUAUUAAUGGAAUCUACAGUGUCCUUUUUGGAACAAAUGUGUCUCUUUUGUGUGACUGGAAAAUGGAACAUAUUUUUGACCUUUAUUUCUACAGUGGGCAAUCUUCCCAAAAGAAAACAGCACACCUGACAGUAGAUACUCACUCACAUCACUGGGAGGAAUCCUACAAAAUAGAUGAAGGGGAUCAUGAAAAGAGAUUUCCAUCACUGGAAAUGAUUAUUAGAACCAAAUGGGAAGGUGCAGCUGUAAACUGGCAUGGGACUGUGCCAUUUUUUUAAACAUAUAUGGAUUUCAAAGGAAGCAAAGUAAAUGAUAUGACUAUAUACAGCACUGGACACUUUUUUUUUAUUGUUACAGCGUCCAGCAUUUUUGUGAAUGAGAAGCUACCUAUACGUAUACAAUUGGACAUUGCCGCAGAACACCUAUAUAGCACUUUUAAUGGAAUCCCUUACCAACUUUGAAUACUCCCCUAUCAACUCCCACACCCAGGACAAAACUGAUCAUCACUUGUUCAUAUGCCUCUACGGGAUGCUCUCUGUCUCUCCACCACACAGAAAAACCUGAACAUGAGGAUGUCUGUGAAUAUCGCCCCUACUCAUGCCCCUGCCCUGGAGCUUCUU